rnacentral:rRNA from 1 species
AUUGAACGCUGGCGGCAUGCCUUACACAUGCAAGUCGAACGGCAGCGGACCUUCGGGUGCCGGCGAGUGGCGAACGGGUGAGUAAUAUAUCGGAACGUACCUUUCAGUGGGGGAUAACGUAGCGAAAGUUACGCUAAUACCGCAUAUUCUGUGAGCAGGAAAGCAGGGGAUCGCAAGACCUUGCGCUGAUUGAGCGGCCGAUAUCAGAUUAGCUAGUUGGUGAGGUAAAGGCUCACCAAGGCGACGAUCUGUAGCGGGUCUGAGAGGAUGAUCCGCCACACUGGAACUGAGACACGGUCCAGACUCCUACGGGAGGCAGCAGUGGGGAAUUUCGGACAAUGGGCGCAAGCCUGAUCCAGCCAUGCCGCGUGCAGGAAGACGGCCCUAUGGGUUGUAAACUGCUUUUAUACAGGAAUAAACCCCUCUACGUGUAGAGGGCUGAAGGUACUGUAAGAAUAAGCACCGGCUAACUCCGUGCCAGCAGCCG